UGGGGAACCUGCCCCAUAGUCUGGGAUACCACUUGGAAACAGGUGCUAAUACCGGAUAAGAAAGCAGAUCGCAUGAUCAGCUUUUAAAAGGCGGCGUAAGCUGUCGCUAUGGGAUGGCCCCGCGGUGCAUUAGCUAGUUGGUAAGGUAAAGGCUUACCAAGGCGAUGAUGCAUAGCCGAGUUGAGAGACUGAUCGGCCACAUUGGGACUGAGACACGGCCCAAACUCCUACGGGAGGCAGCAGGA
rnacentral:rRNA from 1 species